rnacentral:lncRNA from 1 species
AUGACUGUGUCUGGAAGUCAAAAGCUCCCUGUGACCUUCAGAAAACUAGCUCCAGGAACUGGUGGGAAGCAGAAGCCAGCCCGUAAGGACAUGAAGAAGGCUCUUUCUAUGAAACUAGUGCCCAUCACAAACAGGAUGGAACUGAGCACCCACCACACGUCCAGAACACAUGUAAGUGCACAAGCAGAAGUGCCUGUCUACCGAAGCAGGACACAUCAGCAUAGGGCCAGGAAUGAUCUUUUUAGAUAAAAUUAAUUGUAGAAGCAGAGAAAAAGAAUCUAAAAAGACAACAUUUAAAAAAGGGGGUGAGGAACAAGUUUAUUUCCCAAAAUGCAAGAACUGGUGCACCUUUUUAUCUGAUUAUGUAAAAAGAGAAGACUGUGUGAGCAAGGCAAGAAGGGUUCACUGGGGAUACUGCUUUAGAAUUCUACCUUAAAAAAAAAUUGAGGCAUUCAUUCUUUUAUAUUAAGAAGAAACUGGAGAGGAUUUUAAGGGAAUAUAUAAGAAUACCAAAAACUCCUUUAAGAAAAAGUUCAAUAAGGAGGAAAUACAGUUGUAACGUGGGUGGGCAUAGAAAAUUAUUUAGGGAAGAGACAAUCAAACGUGUGAGCAAAAACGUAACCAGAACUCACAGAGCUAUUUUGAGAGUGAAAACCAAGUGAAAAAUGUCAAGUAUAGGAUUAUUCUUAUUUGACAUUUUUAUACAGCACCAACUUAUAAAAACAUCAAACAUGGCAUAAUCCUUUCUCUAGCAUUUUAACACGUCAUUAUAGUCUUAACAAGGACAAAUGGCUAUAGCCAUUCAUGUACUUUUUAAUAGAUUACUUUUAUCAUAAAAAUGUCAUUUUAGGAUAAUCUGCAUUCUUACAUUUUUAUGUUCAGCUGUGGUCUUUAAAUGUCAAGUAUAGGAGAUAUCUAGGUCUCCAAUUCUUAGAGUCUUUACUACAGAUCUUGUGAAUAUCAGCAUAAAAACAAGCCUUAAUCUGAUACGGCUGCUGUACUCAAUUCACCCUUUCUAUAAUUUUUCUCCUUUUAAAAAUAAUUACAAAGUACAUGUAUUAGGUAAAGAUGCGAUUGUGGGUUAAAGCCGUAAUAGGCAGGAAAUUUGUAAUGAAGCCCACUUUGAUCCACAUGAAAGUUAUCACAUGUUCAGCCACUCAGGGUCACAUUCCCACAGGCACUACUGUAUAGGAGACAGUUGACCUGCCUGCUCAAUUAGCAAUGAUAGCAACAAUGUAUCAUUUCACUUCAGGAGCUCACAUGUGCCAAAUGUCCAACCAGAGUUCUUGGACUGUUCCUCUUAAAAGUGGAGAAACAAAGCAAACAUCAAAGAUCCGGCAACUGAACCACAGAAUGGGAAUUAGAACUCCAAUGAGUCAAUAGUCUAGGGCAGAUAACGGCAAACUUUUUCUGUAAAGGGCCAAAUAGUCAAUGGUUUAGGCUAGAAGGCCACACAGUCUCUGUUACAACUGCUCAAGUCUGAUACUAUAAUGCCAACAGAGACCACACAGAAAUGAGUGGGCAUAGUUGCAUAGCAAUAAAACUUUAUUUACAAAACCA